AAUGACGUCAUGUUCUGACGCUAAACACGACGCAACCAAAAACACUCUCCGAUACUGUGAAGGUAAAGAGUCAGGCAGCCAGAGGUUCUCAGCUACAGUACCUGGACAUUUACCUGUGUGUCGUGUACAAGCUGUGAGAAGACCUGGACUGUGCAGUGUGACACAUCACCACCAGUGUGGCCCCACAGGAUGACAAGGCACCAAACAGAAAGGGCAGGACAGAGAUGUGCGACAUUUUUA